rnacentral:rRNA from 1 species
AUUGAACGCUGGCGGCAUGCCUUACACAUGCAAGUCGAACGGCAGCACGGGAGCAAUCCUGGUGGCGAGUGGCGAACGGGUGAGUAAUAUAUCGGAACGUGCCCAGUCGUGGGGGAUAACGUAGCGAAAGCUACGCUAAUACCGCAUACGAUCUAUGGAUGAAAGGCGGGGGAUCGCAAGACCUCGCGCGAUUGGAGCGGCCGAUAUCAGAUUAGGUAGUUGGUGAGGUAAGGCUCACCAAGCCGACGAUCUGUAGCUGGUCUGAGAGGACGACCAGCCACACUGGGACUGAGACACGGCCCAGACUCCUACGGGAGGCAGCA